GCCCCCUAGAGACAUUGCAGGCUUGGCUACAGUGUCCCAGGUGAAUCCGUAGGUGGAAGAGAGGAAACAGGUUGAAAUAUGCUCAGUGUUCUAACAUAUGAACCUCUGAAUGAUUAUUAGCCUAACAUU
ensembl:snoRNA Gm23950 predicted gene, 23950